rnacentral:rRNA from 1 species
GACGAACGCUGGCGGCGUGCUUAACACAUGCAAGUCGAGCGGUAAGGCCCUUUCGGGGGUACACGAGCGGCGAACGGGUGAGUAACACGUGGGUGACCUGCCCUUAGCUCUGGGAUAAGCCUGGGAAACUGGGUCUAAUACCGGAUAUGACUCCAUGACGCAUGUUGUGGGGUGGAAAGCCUUGUGCGGCUAGGGAUGGGCCUGCGGCCUAUCAGCUUGUUGGUGGGGUGAUGGCCUACCAAGGCGACGACGGGUAGCCGGCCUGAGAGGGCGACCGGCCACACUGGGGACUGAGACACGGCCCAGACUCCUACGGGAGGCAGCAGUGGGGAAUCUUGCGCAAUGGGCGAAAGCCUGACGCAGCGACGCCGCGUGGGGAUGACGGCCUCGG